CAGCACCUCAAGUGGUCAGGAUGAUUAUUGGGCCUAAAGCAUCCGUAGCCGGCGCUGUAAGUUUUCGGUUAAAUCUGUACGCUCAACGUACAGGCUGCCGGGAAUACUGCAGCGCUAGGGAGUGGGAGAGGUAGACGGUACUCGGUAGGAAGGGGUAAAAUCCUUUGAUCUAGUGAUGACCACCUGUGGCGAAGGCGGUCUACCAGAACACGUCCGACGGUGAGGGAUGAAAGCUGGGGGAGCAAACCGGAUUAGAUACCCGUGUAGUCC
rnacentral:rRNA from 1 species